rnacentral:rRNA from 1 species
AUUGAACGCUGGCGGCAGGCCUAACACAUGCAAGUCGAACGGUAACAGGAAGAAGCUUGCUUCUUUGCUGACGAGUGGCGGACGGGCGAGUAAUGUCUGGGAAACUGCCUGAUGGAGGGGGAUAACUACUGGAAACGGUAGCUAAUACCGCAUAACGUCGCAAGACCAAAGAGGGGGACCUUCGGGCCUCUUGCCAUCGGAUGUGCUCAGAUGGGAUUAGCUAGUAGGUGGGGUAACGGCUCACCUAGGCGACGAUCCCUAGCUGGUCUGAGAGGAUGACCAGCCACACUGGAACUGAGACACGGUCCAGACUCCUACGGGAGGCAGCAGUGGGGAAUAUUGCACAAUGGGCGCAAGCCUGAUGCAGCCAUGCCGCGUGUAUGAAGAAGGCCUUCGGGUUGUAAAGUACUUUCAGCGGGGAGGAAGGGAGUAAAGUUAAUACCUUUACUCAUUGACGUUACCCGCAGAAGAAGCACCGGCUAACUCCGUG